GGUGGAACUGAUAACUGUGUCAGUGGGGGUGCAGGCCCAGAGUUUUGCUGCUCUUUAACAAUGAAAAUGUACAACAGUGCUUUAAAAUGAAGGAUUCAUCUUUAGUGAGAGGAAACAAACAGACACAGGAAGUAAUUCCAUGGCCAACGGGUGAAUGAAGAUUCAUGGUGGGUCUACCAGAAGGGCCUUCUAUCUUUAGCCUUUUCUGCUGUUUUUGACAAUCAACCCCUGUCAUGAGUGCUUAUUCUUGACUCAAAAUUGGAGUCCAAAGGAACGGUAGAGGCUGAGUGGACGGGUCAUAUCAGACCGUGGAGGGUGAUGCUGAAUGCAAGGCUUGCAGGAUGCUGUAGAGACAGGUGUGUCUCACUUUCUGUGGAAAGACACUGCUAACCCAUUGAAAGAGUAACCACUGCAGCUUCAGGAUCAUAAGAAGCUAACAGCAUGGAUUUCAUUAAAGCGGAUCAUUUUCCUUCUAUGUCAAAUGGUCUGAUCAACCACAUGUGGCUCCUGGCUAAUAAGGUCGGUGGGAUGCGGCUGAAUAAUACCUGCAUAUCCCCAUAUUGGUCCCCAUUGUAGAUUGAGACGCAUAUCACCAAUGUGCUGUAUUCAUGUCCAAAGUAUGCUUCUAAAACCUGAAUAAUACUGGCAUAACACACAAGUCUUAAUAGGAAAAUGCUUAAUUCGGAAACCGGCCUUUUUCGGGAUAUCCGAACAGAAUAUGCUGUUUACAUGACCUGUAUCAAAUUCGGAAUAUUGUCAUAUUAGGAAUAAUAGGGGAAUAUUAAUGUGCAUGAACUCAUUGGUGCCCAUCUGAGUUUAGAUCAUAUAGGUGCAAGACAUGUCUCAGCAGCUACCAAGUAAAACUGGAAUCUAUCCAAGUAUUCUUUUCAGAGAAGCAACUCCUUUCAUACAACCCUCAAUAAGAGCAUGCUCAGGCUCGCUAACAGCGUCUCUUCUGAUUCCAUGCAUGUUUUAAAUUCUAACAGGUGAUUUAGAGUCCCUUCUUUUGCACACAACAGACUCAGUUUCUCUUUUAUAAAUCAGUCUGGAGUGUUAAGUGUUGUAAUGAUUCGUUGAUCUGUUUAAUUCAUCCUUUAAUCAUUUCUCGUAUUUCCUAGCUGCAUUUCAA